GGUACAAGACUGAGUCGGAAGAAAGCUUCUAACUUUCAAUCCAAGCGGUUAGAAUCCGUUUUUUUACCU
rnacentral:tRNA from 1 species